rnacentral:rRNA from 1 species
UACGUAGGGGGCAAGCGUUAUCCGGAUUUACUGGGUGUAAAGGGAGCGUAGACGGCAGCGCAAGUCUGGAGUGAAAUGUCGGGGCUCAACCCCGGCCGGCCGUUGAAACUGGCGUGCUCGAGUUGGAGAGAAGUAUGCGGAAUUCGUGGUGUAGCGGUGAAAUGCAUAGAUAUCACGAAGAACCCCGAUUGCGAAGGCAGCAUACCGGCUCCACACUGACGCUGAGGCACGAAAGCGUGGGUAUCGAACAGG